GUCAAGCUAGAGUGUUUCAGCAGGGUGUCACAGUCUCCGGCGAAGAUCCGAUAAGUAUUGUAUUGUACUGCAUGUUAAAUUUUCAGUUAGAUCUGCUCUUGGUAUGUUGUUUGAGACUAUUUUUGGUAAUACAUAAUUUCGGCAAGAAUCCGGACCAAGGUUCGAUGAACGAAAGUCUACCUUCAUGUCUUGGAUAAUAAUCUGGGUAUAAUUUUGGUAGAUCGGGUAUGGAGCUCAUGGGAUGCCUCCGCAAAACAGUGUGGAAAUGAUAACACAAUCACAGAUUUGUUGAUUCACACUCAAAUUUCACAUAUUUUUUUUAUUGAUUUGCAGGCGAACGAGUCUCUGGAGACGGUGGAGUUGCAGCGGUAGACGACGCCAAACCGGCCUCUGCUCGGUGAGUUUAUAGUCGUUGUUUAGAAGCUCCUUCAACCUUCAUGUUGUUGUUAGGGUUAGGGUUAAUUGUAACUAUUUGUUGAAGUCAUGUGGGUUUUAUAACAGAAAUUAUGGGUGUUUUGGUUAAGAUUCGCGUGUAUUCGUAUUCGAGAAGUUGAAAAGGAUAUUUGGUGUAUGAUGGAAUCACUUUGUUCAUCGAAAGGCUUCUCUUUACUUCUUUCUUCAUGUCAACUAUUGGAUUUGAAGAUAUAAAUUUAAAAUUGAAGACCGUGGAUGGUAAUUCAUCAUUAACAGCUGCGGUACUGUACCGGAGAGUUGAGCCGCUCACCAUCCGAUUCGGAUCGUCGAAAGGAAUACACCGGAGUUGAGAACCGACAUCUCCGGUUGAUGCGUUCACCGAUACAGCGUUUAAAGGCAAUCCGGCAGUCGUUUGCUGGUUAGACAACAUAUCGAAAGCCGAUAAGUGGAUGCAAUGGGUUACGACCGAGUUUAACCUUCCGACCACCGGUUUUUUAUCGGCUGAUCACCGUACAGAAAAACUAAGAUUCAACCUCCGUUGGUUCACUUGUGUAUCGAAAGUUGAUAAUUUAACGUGCUGGUUUCUAUACAUGAAACUAGACCACUAGAACAUAAUUUGUGAAUAAUUAAUUUUGUUAUUUUUUUAUGUUAGGUUCCGCUUUGUGGUCAUGCAACUUUAGCAGCUUCACACUUUGUGUUUGAGUCUGGAUAAGUGGAUUCUAACUCGGUUGAGUUCUCAACUCUGUCUGGAGUUUUGACUGAUAACCGGAUUCCGACUAACGAGAUCAAUGAUUCGGAACAUGGGCUUUACAUAGAGUUGGAUUUUCUGGUUGGGAGGGUUUCUGUUUUUAAAGAUGUUGAGGUUUCUGUGGUUUCGGAGAUGUUAAAUGGUGUUCCGGUUGUUGAUGUUUUGAUGAAGAACGCAUUUGAUGAUAUUGUUCAGGUGGUGCUUUCAUCAGCGGAAGAAGUUGCGGAUUUCAAGCCGUAGUGUCAUAAGAUCAAAGAGGGUCCGGGUAGGGCGGUGAUAAUUACAGCACGGGCACCUGACGGGUCGGGAUUUGACUUCUAUUCGCGUGUUUUCGGCCCGAAGAUUAGGUUGAUGAGGAUCCGGUCUGUGGCAGCGCACAUUGCGCGUUAGCACUCUAUUGGCAUGAGAAGUUGGGGAAAUGUGAUUUUGUUGCAUAUCAGAUUCAAGCAGUGCUUCUAAGAUGGGGCGUCAAGAAUGAUAGGAAACCACAACAACUGAAAGCCGUCACUCAAGAAGCCAUGUCACCUAGGACCAUCUCUUUUGCUCAAGUCAUGUAACUAACAUCCUUAAUGUUAGUCGUAAAAACUGAAACCGUAACUAGAUGCUAACUUUUUUGGUUCAGCUAUGUAACUAAUUGUGUCGAUGUGACUGACUUUGUAAGAAUGGCAACCAUCUGAACAGAAAUAUAAAUCUAGACCCCGCCGCAUCGCGGCGGGUAACGCUUCUAGUUAA